rnacentral:tRNA from 1 species
UCUUUUGUGGUGUUAAGCACGGAAAGUUUUGGGCUUUCAGGAAUAGAUUUUUCUAUAAAAAGAA